rnacentral:rRNA from 1 species
GACAGAGGGUGCAAACGUUGUUCGGAUUUACUGGGCGUAAAGCGUGUGUAGGCGGCUUUGCAAGUCGGGCGUGAAAUCCCACGGCUCAACCGUGGAAGUGCACCCGAAACUGCGUAGCUAGAGUCCUGGAGAGGAAGGUGGAAUGCUUGGUGUAGAGGUGAAAUUCGUAGAUAUCAAGCGGAACACCGGUGGCGAAGGCGGCCUUCUGGACAGUGACUGACGCUGAGACGCGGAAAGCGGUGGGGAGCAAACAGGG